CCCAGACUCCUACGGGAGGCAGCAGUGGGGAAUAUUGCACAAUGGGGGGAACCCUGAUGCAGCGACGCCGCGUGGGCGAGGAAGUAUUUCGGUAUGUAAAGCCCUAUCGGCAGGGAAGAAGAAAUGACGGUACCUGAAUAAGAAGCACCGGCUAAAUACGUGCCAGCAGCCGCGGUAAUACGUAUGGGGCAAGCGUUAUCCGGAUUUACUGGGCGUAAAGGGAGCGCAGGCGGCGCGCCAAGUCUGAUGUGAAACCCCGGGGCUCCACCCCGGGCAUGCCUUGGAAACUGGCUGGCUGGAGUGCCGGAGAGGUUAGCGGAAUUCCUAGUGUGGCGGUGAAAUGCGUCGAUAUCAGGCGGAACACCGGCAUCUCGUGCGGCCUGCUGG
rnacentral:rRNA from 1 species